AUCUAUGGCCAUAUUGCCCGGAGCACGCCCCAUCUUGUCUGAUCUUGGAAGCUAAGCAGGGUCAGGCCUAGUUAGUGCUUGGAUGGAGAGACCAUAAACU
rnacentral:rRNA from 1 species